CCCUUCACGCGCACGCCUACCCAUCGAAGCCACCGCAUACCACGCCGCAAGUCGCCACCGCAAGUCGCCACCGCAAGUCGCCUCAUGCCGCCGCCGCUCGCCCUUUCUCUGUAGAUCGCCAACGCAACCCUGGGCCCCAGGGUCGUUCCCUCCUCCCCACCAGGCUCGAGGAGGCGGCCACGAGGAGCGCGCAGCCGCCGCAAUCCUGGGCAGAUCUAGCCGGGGCCGUCGGCAGCCAUCCCUCCCUCCGGCCGGCCAUGAGGAAUUGAACCGGCUUGAGCAGAACUAGCGCAUGGACCAUGCGUGCCUCCCGCGCUAGGAGCCACCGGUCCUCGUCAUCUGCUAGCAUCCAGGAGGAAUCGAUCCAUAUAAUGUUUGCGGGGAGCUCGGUUAGUGUCAACACCUCAUGGAUUUAUGCAUAUCAGUUCAUUUUGCUUAAAGCCAGUGUAAUGAUGCCUACUGGUUCCAGGGCCGUUGACGAGGAUGUGCGAGGUGGGCGACCGCACAGGGCCCCCAAAAAUUAGGGGGCUUCGAAUCCUGUAUAUGUGUUCUUUGUCACCAUGGAUCUGAGAGUGCCCGAACUGCUCGUUUCGUACAUGGUCACGGCUGACGGCCGCACCGAUACGAGCGGCAUCUUGGUUCCUUUGUGUGUCCUAGGGCGGCGAGGCCCAUGAUCUUGUACAUGGAGCAGUGCAGCAUCGUUGUUGUGCCUCUGCUGUCAUCCGUCACCAGAACAAGCAGGCAUGCACGUUUCCCUUGCCUGACGCAUUCCCAUAGUCCAUGUUUUGGAUCCAGAUUGAAGAGCAAACUCGUGCUACAGCAGCAACCCAGUAGCAAAACUCUGAGCUCAGCCAGCAGGUCAACGAAUUACAAGAUCAACUACAAGCUGAACGUGCAAACACACAAGAGAGGAUUAACUUGGAGCGUGCUGAGAAAGAACAAUUUGGGGAGAGGUUAAAAGAAGAGCGUGCUGAAAGGGAAAUAUUGUUGGAAGAAGAGCGAACAUCAAGACUGUAAUUUGAAAAAAACAUGAUGGCAAAUUUUGCAAAAUUGAGCCAACAGAUGGGAACCAGUAGGUGCCAACGAAGAGGAUUAACAAAGAAAAUAGUAGUCUAAACUUGUAAAAUACUCUUUUUUAGAGAUCUAGUCCUAAUAAGACUCUAGGUGCAAGGCUAACUGUUAUUUCUUCAAAUGUGCUCAUACAAGCUGAAUAAGGAAUUCUCAAAUGUUUAAAGCAAUGGUAAGUCACAACCUUGCUUUCUUUUCAUGUUCACCUGCAUUUUAUACGUAUGGCCUUCAUAAUUAGCUAGCUACUUCUUCUCUUUCACCAUGUGUUGAUAUUGCAUUGAGUCACAAUUUAGCAAAAACGAAUAUGUGCUAGCUAGGGACAUGAACUUAACUGAAACUAUAGAUUGAGUCACAACUAAAUCAAUAGCGGAUGCUUUUAGUACAUGUACUUGUGCUUAUGUUUUAGACAUUUACACUUGUAAAACUGUUCUGAUCCCUCAGUUACAUGCUUGUUGACACAGUAUUACUCCAGUUAGUCUGGCGAUAGGUAUUUUUAACAAUGGGGCUGAAAUUGUAUGGUGUAUGUUAUGUUGGACUCAUUAACUAGAACUAUUUUUUUGAUUUCUUGAUUGCAGGAUCCAACGAUCUAGCUCGACUCGACUCUAGAUCACGAACAGUUUAGUCUUGGCCCUUAAGUAGGAUGGCUAAAUUACAUUUGAGUAUCGUUUGAUGGAUAUUUUCUAUGAAAAUUAUGAAUCUACAUAUUAUAUGUAUGGUUUUGAAUAUUGUAAUUGAAUGCCUGUGUUUUUUUUAUGGUUACAAUAGGCUAUUACCACAAUCCACUUUUGGUUGC